UACGGAGGGUGCAAACGUUGCUCGGAAUCAUUGGGCGUAAAGCGCACGUAGGCGGCCUGUUUAGUCGGGUGUGAAAUCCCUCGGCUCAACCGAGGAAGUGCAUUCGAUACUGGCGGGCUUGAAUAUGGAAGAGGGUCGCGGAAUUCCCGGUGUAGAGGUGAAAUUCGUAGAUAUCGGGAGGAACACCAGUGGCGAAGGCGGCGACCUGGGCCAAUAUUGACGCUGAGGUGCGAAAGCGUGGGGAGCAAACAGG
rnacentral:rRNA from 1 species